CGCGCGCCCUCGCCGGGCGCCGGGACCGGAAAAUCACCGCGAAGGGAGGGACGAGGAAAGGCGGCGGGUGGCUUCAGGACAAGCUGUGAGAUAUCGGUGGGCGAGGAUGUGAUGCCUGAAGAUGUGGCAUCUACCUUGAAACAGUCAAGGACCUGAGGAUGAAGCCAGCAUCUGAGGAAGACAGACAGAAAGGAUCUGGAUACAUCAUGAGCCUGAAAAGUAUCUUGCAUACACAACUGGCAGCACAGAAUCCUGACAAACCUCUCAUCAGAAAUCAACCACAGACUCUUUAUGCUCUUACCAAAAUGCUGGCUUUGAGAACUAAUUAUGAAUGAAAAUUACUGAUGUGAUUUUCAGUCUAGGGAAGAAUAUCAAGUUAAACUUUAUGAAGUCCAAGACAAUGGGAAAAGAAGAGGUGUUCCUGUCCAGGCCCUCUUCCAGUUAGAAGGUGAUGGUUUCCAGAAGUCUGCACCUGUAUUUCAAUUACCUAUAAUGGAGUUUAUAGGACUAAACUAUAUUCACUA
rnacentral:lncRNA from 1 species